AUUGAACGCUGGCGGCAGGCUUAACACAUGCAAGUCGAACGGUAGCAGGUAAGUACUUGUACUUAUGCUGACGAGUGGCGGACGGGUGAGUAAUGCUUGGGGAUCUGGCUUAUGGAGGGGGAUAACGACGGGAAACUGUCGCUAAUACCGCGUAGAAUCGAGAGAUGAAAGUGUGGGACCUUCGGGCCACAUGCCAUAGGAUGAACCCAAGUGGGAUUAGGUAGUUGGUGGGGUAAUGGCCUACCAAGCCGACGAUCUCUAGCUGGUCUGAGAGGAUGACCAGCCACACCGGGACUGAGACACGGCCCGGACUCCUACGGGAGGCAGCAGUGGGGAAUAUUGCGCAAUGGGGGCAACCCUGACGCAGCCAUGCCGCGUGAAUGAAGAAGGCCUUCGGGUUGUAAAGUUCUUUCGGUGACGAGGAAGGUUGUUGUGUGAAUAGCACAACAAAAUGACGUAAUCACAGAGAGCCCCGG
rnacentral:rRNA from 1 species